GCAUUGUGGGAUAGCUCAGUUGGUAGAGCAUGAGUCUCUUAAUUUCAGGGUUGUGUGUUUGAGCCCCACAUUGGGCA
rnacentral:tRNA from 1 species